GAAUUAGUAACUUAAUUGGUAAAGGAUUUCCUUGUCACGGAAAUAGAUGUCGGUUCG
rnacentral:tRNA from 1 species